rnacentral:rRNA from 1 species
UGAGUACAGUAGAGGUGGGCGGAAUUCGUGGUGUAGCGGUGAAAUGCUUAGAUAUCACGAAGAACUCCGAUUGCGAAGGCAGCUCACUGGACUGCAACUGACACUGAUGCUCGAAAGUGUGGGUAUCAAACAGGAUUAGAUACCCUGGUAGUCCACACAGUAAACGAUGAAUACUCGCUGUUUGCAAGGGCCAAGCGAAAGCAUUAAGUAUUCCACCUGGGGAGUACGCCGGCAACGGUGAAACUCAAAGGAAUUGACGGGGGCCCGCACAAGCGGAGGAACAUGUGGUUUAAUUCGAUGAUACGCGAGGAACCUUACCCGGGCUUAAAUUGAAGGUGCUGCAUGGUUGUCGUCAGCUCGUGCCGUGAGGUGUCGGCUUAAGUGCCAUAACGAGCGCAACCCUUAUCUUCAGUUACGACUCUGGAGAGACUGCCGUCGUAAGAUGGAGGAAGGUGGGGAUGACGUCAAAUCAGCACGGCCCUUACGUCCGGGGCUACACACGUGUUACAAUGGGGGGUACAGAAGGCAGCUAGCGGGUGACCGUAUGCUAAUCCCAAAAUCCUCUCUCAGUUCGGAUCGAAGUCUGCAACCCGACUUCGUGAA